rnacentral:misc_RNA from 1 species
GGCAGCUCACCACUAAGCCGGUUGGUGUUGAGGUCAAGGGUUUGAAGAGAUGUCAAUUUGCCAAUCUCAGAAGGAAUGGUUCCACUGAUGUUGUUCCGAAAAAGAAGCAACAUCUUUAGAUUGGUCAGGUUUCCAAUGGUUGGAGGUAUUGUGCCUGAAAGCUGGUUGUCAGAGACAUCUAGCUCCAGCAAGUUUUGCAACUAACCAAUCUGAU